rnacentral:lncRNA from 1 species
UGUGCACUGAAAGGGGCAGGAGGCAGCACAGCGGAGCUGCUGAUUAAUGACAACAGCCAUGGAGGAUUUUCCUAUUAUGCCAAGCGUCGGAGGGAAACAGACAGAAGGGGUAUGCGACUGCAACGUCACCGACGUGAACUUUACGUGGCCUUAUUGGUACAACAGGAAGCAACAGAAGAUGUUCCUCAUUUACAUAAAGCUCCAAUCAUGAGUCAUCUCUAUCUUCUACAGCUCCGCUUGUCACUCUGACGAGUCUCUGGACGKUAAGAAGACAGAAUGGAAAGAUGUGGAUCUCUAAGGAUGGAGAUGAUUACAGUGGCAAAAAGAGGAAGAAGAAAGUUGUAGAAUCAAUUAGGAAAGCAGCACAUUUAGAAUGCUGUAAUCCCUCUUUCUCUUGCCUUACUUUUUGACUAAAAAGACAAAAAUAGUUGUAUUUUGUUCCUGCACUGUAAUUUAACAUGCAUUGUAUGUGAGUGACAUGACUUUAUUCCUUAAUACAGCCGUGAUCACGGUCUAUCUGCAGAAAAAAAGACCCUGACUGAUGCCAUUAGCUGGAGACAUUAUUAAGGGAACCUGCGGUGCAGGAUGAUGUACGGAAUAGCGUGGGAUUAGCGAGGUGCA